CUCCCUUUUCAGUGACAAUAUAUAUUCUGAUAUCACACUGGAAUCAAACAAUUAUUCAAUUAUUAUUUUUAUUACGGAUGGGUUCCUGUAGAAGAUGUAUGUUUAAAAUUUGCAUUUUAAUUUAAAUAGUCAUCAGUGUAAUAAAAGCAACUUAUUCUUCACAAUGACAUAAUUGGAAACCCUCUUUUAUGUAAACCGACGCUUUAGUUAUAAAAUAUGGCAGCUGAUGUGUUUAUGUACAUUUCGUUACUUAUAAUAUUCGCCUUUUGAAGGUUUUGUUAGCUCUAUGCUUUUACAGCGAGUUCUAAAACUAUCUAGACAGGCAAGACUCCAGUGUUGUAUGAAGACGGGUCGCCAGUAGAGAUAGAAGAAGCAUCUGAAUGUAUAACUGGCAGGUGCGGUGGAAAUGAAGUUGCUAAGACGUCGAGUACUCUGUCAAUACCAGUUCUGCAGGAUGGAAAGGACUAUUUGUUUCAAGUUCUCAUUAAACAUAAGAAUGUUCCUAAUAAUGAACACGAUAUUAUCAUCAUCUCAACGCGGACAUACAAAUUUAAGAUACCAACUGCUUCGGAAGCAAAGAGUUCCAACAAACCGAACAUUGGCCUCAUCGUUGGUUUGACGGUUGGGUGUGUUGUUUUAUUUGUAUUGGUUGUUGUCGUUGUUUUUGUAAUAAAACGUCGUCUGUC